rnacentral:rRNA from 1 species
CCCUUAGAUGUUCUGGGCUGCACGCGCGCUACACUGACACGAUCAACGAGUUUGUCCUUUCCCGAUAGGGCUGGGUAAUCUUUUCAAAUCGUGUCGUGAUGGGGAUAGAUUAUUGCAAUUAUUAAUCUUAAACGAGGAAUUCCUAGUAAGUGCAAGUCAUCAGCUUGCGCUGAUUACGUCCCUGCCCUUUGUACACACCGCCCGUCGCUCCUACCGAUCGAAGAGUUAGGUGAAUUGUUUUGAUCGAUAAGAUUUGACUAUGGUCAACUCUCGUUGUGAAAUUCUGUGAAUCUGACUGUUUAGAGGAAGGAAAAGUCGUAACA